GCAUCCGUAGCUUAGUUGGAUAGAGCACUCGGCUACGAACCGAGAGGUUGAAGGUUCGAAUCCUUCCGGAUGCA
rnacentral:tRNA from 1 species